GGGCAGCAGAGGCGGUUCCGGCUGCGGCUCUGCGGGCGGGCGGGCGGGCGGGCGGCGAGUUGAGCGGGCCGGGGGGCGGGGAUGCGGAGCCGCCGUCGCCGCCUGAGAACCUGAGCGUCGCCGGGCCCCGCCCGCGCGGUCACCACAGUCUGAACGCGCCGCGCUUCCCGAGCGCGGGCCGGGCCCAGCGCCGGCCGCACCGCGUCUGGGUCCCGGCGGCCCGCCCCCCGCGCGCCGCCUCGCCCGCGCGCUCGGCGCUCAUGCGGGCCGAGCCCCGCCCCCCGGCCCGAGCCCGCCGAGCGCCCCCCGAGCCAGCGCGCGCCGUCCGCCCGCACCAUGCUCAAGUGCAUCCCGCUGUGGCGCUGCAACCGGCACGUGGAGUCGGUGGACAAGCGGCACUGCUCCCUGCAGGCUGUGCCCGAGGAGAUCUACCGCUACAGCCGCAGCCUGGAGGAACUGCUGCUCGACGCUAACCAGCUGCGCGAGCUGCCCAAGGUGAGCGGCCGCCGCACCUGCCAUCCUGACGCCCGAGGCGCGGCGCCCGGCGGACUGGACGGGUACUGUCCCGCUGCGGCUGCCGGCUGGAGCGAGACCUCGGCGGACGCUGCCGGGCGGGGCACCGAGCUGCAAGCCGGCCCAGCUGGUUCUUACUGGCCAGAGCCCCGCCCCGGUCGGCCACCCCCACCCCCAUCGCCUGUGCUAGCACCAGGUGGCCGCGGUCCUUGGGUCCGUGCCUGGGGAUGGAGUCGAAGAGCUGCUGAAUGAAACCCGUGCACGGGGGCGAGGGAGGGAGAUGGGACCAGGGUAGAAGGUGGACCUGGCGUGGCAGUGGAUACAACUUGCUGGGCUGCGCUGAAGGUGGGGUCCUGGAAUUCUCCCUGCACUGGCGCCUUUCCCUUUGGGUGCGGGCUGGGUGGGGCCUCCUAGAGUGCCCAGCCUGUCAGGUUUGUUCUCUGCAACCUCGCUGUGGGGUCAACUCUCGUGUCCCACGGUUCUUCCCGUCAGCUUGUUUUUCUUCUAGGGUCUUCCCAAAAUCCCUAGAAAGGAGCCAAGGGAAAGCAGAUCACGAAAGAUUUCCUUUUCAGGAACACGGGUCUAAAUGAUCUGUUGUUCAGGGGUUGGGUGCCAUGGAGGGUGUGGCUUUGCUCUGGGCAGUUCUGUGUUUCGUGGUCACCAACAGAACUUGUCUGUGUGUCCUGUGAUUCCUGUGUAUGGCAUUGAAUGUUUUGUGGUAGUUCGCUGUUUUUAGGGGUUUUUUCCCCCCCUCUCUUUUUGUGGGUUUUGUUGAGCUUUUAUUGAUUAUUGUCAGAAAGCAGCAGUAAGCACCAUUGGGGGGGUCCCUCGGUGACUGAUCUGUGGAUGAAAGAAGUUUUUAGGGUGGUGGUUGGAGGUCUGAGGGUCACUCUGGGCAGCUUCUCAGCUGGGCCAGUUACGUGAGAGAUGCAACAGAUAUGGAGGCUCCUGUGAGGUGAUCAGGGGACGAGAUGUCAAGUGGGAAAUGGAGUCUGACCAGGGCCGGGUGCUGUCUGUUUCCCUGUUUUCCUCUCAGCAACUGGGGCACCAUGGCUAGAUCCCUGUACCUUGUGACCUGGGGCAGGAAGAGUUUUAGAGACCUGGGACUUUCUAAGUGUUCGGGAGCCCUUUUCUUUUCUUCUUUUUUCUUUUUUUUAAAUACUCAACUUCUAGGUAGAUACAACAUCUUUAUUUUACAUUUAUGUGGUGCUGACGAUUGAACCCAGUGCCUUGUGCAUGCUAGGCGAGCGCUCUACCACCGAGCCACAACUCCAGGCCCCUCAGGAGCCCUUUUCUGUCCUCGGGGGUUGCAGCUGUGGAACCAUUCCCUGACUGAACCCCCUACUCACAGCCCUUCUUCCGGCUGCUGAACCUGCGCAAGCUGGGCCUCAGUGACAACGAGAUUCAACGGCUGCCUCCUGAAGUGGCCAACUUUAUGCAGCUGGUGGAGCUGGACGUGUCCCGUAAUGGUAGGUGGGCAAUACAGGGUGAGACAAGGAGGUCCUGGCAGCUGUAGGCAUCUCUCUAUGGUGACCUUCCCACAGAUAUUCCUGAAAUACCUGAGAGCAUCAAGUUUUGCAAAGCCCUAGAGAUUGCAGACUUCAGUGGGAAUCCUCUGUCCAGGUGAAUUCAGUGGUGGGGGUCAGUGUGACUGUGGCAGUCUUGCAGCCCUGCUCUGAGUAUCUGAGGUCCUCUGCUUUCACCUUCCUCUGCCAGACUCCCUGAUGGCUUCACACAGCUGCGCAGCCUGGCUCACCUGGCCCUGAAUGACGUGUCCCUACAGGCACUGCCCGGGGAUGUGGGCAAGUGAGUGCUGCUUGUGAACUGGUCUGGGGGAGGAUCAGCUUGGCCUUGCCUCCCUCAGUCUCAGCCCUGGUCUCUCUCUCAGUCUGGCCAACCUAGUGACCCUGGAGCUCCGGGAGAACCUGCUCAAGUCUUUGCCUGCGUGAGUGUGCUGGGCCUCCACCUUGCAUGGGCGGAGCGAUGCUGGGCCUGGGCCUUGAGACCACACCAAGACUGUCUCUUGUGCAGGUCCCUGUCUUUUCUGGUCAAGCUGGAACAGCUGGAUCUGGGAGGCAACGACCUAGAAGUGUUGGUAUGGUGGGAGCCAUUGGGUGGGGCACAGGGGUGUAAGACAGUUACUCCUGCUGGGCAAAGCAGAGUAUCUCUGUGGCCACACCGGGUUCUCCUGUCCUUAUCCCUUCUUUUAGCCGGACACUCUGGGAGCUCUGCCCAACCUGCGGGAGCUGUGGCUGGACCGGAACCAACUGUCAGCACUGCCCCCGGUGAGUGAGGGCAGGACUGGCCUCCUACCUCCAGCUGCUGUCCCCUGACCCUGUGCCUGCCCUUAGGAGCUCGGGAACCUAAGGCGUUUGGUGUGUCUGGAUGUGUCUGAGAACCGGCUAGAGGAGCUGCCGGUAGAGCUGGGGGGUCUGGCACUUCUCACAGACCUGCUGCUGUCCCAGAACCUGCUGCAGCGGCUUCCUGAUGGCAUUGGUCAGUGCACCCAGGGGGGCCUAGGGGUUGCAUGCCCUGGUCAGGCGGCCCCACAAGCUGUCAGCAAAGGUACUGGUGGGCAUUAGAUGAGGGUUCUUAUGUCAUCCAAGCUGGAAGCAUCUCAAGGAAGGGAACUGAGGCCAAGACUCAAGUUGGGUCCUGAGACAUCUAGGUAUCAGCCUACAGGGGCAGGGUAGUUCACGUGGCAGAGUGGGUUCAGGUCUUAUGAACAUGGAUAGCGGGCAUAGUGUUUUCCCAGAAGAAGUCAGGUGGGCAGGGCUGUUUCAGGUCUGUAGUGGAGAAGACGGGAGGGCGAGCACAGGUCUGCUGCAGCUCAGGGUUCUCGGGGUCCUCUCAGGAGCCAUGGGAUCUGGCUGUAGCCAUGCAGAAAGCUGGUCUCUACUGGAGGGUUGGGUCAAGUGUUCAGAUUUGCCCUUGGCCCCACUCAGCCUGAUCACUGUGUUUCCCUGACACCAGGUCAGCUGAAGCAGCUGUCUAUCCUGAAAGUGGACCAGAAUCGCCUGUGUGAGGUGACUGAGGCCAUUGGUGACUGUGAGAACCUCUCUGAGCUGAUCCUCACAGAGAAUCUGCUAACGGUAGGCAACCCUGGCUACCAGGCAGAGAGGUGCUCAGUUCCUAAGUUGUCCUCAGCGUCAUCUUGAGACGAUGGGGCCUGGAGUGUGUAGGGUACAGUGAGAGUGCCAGCACACAGCAAGAGCCGAAGGGGCUGCUAGCACCGUAUGUGUUGCGUGCUAGCAGAUGCUGGUGGCCAGGCUUGUUGGGGUCUGUGUCCCCUGCUGGGGCAAACUCAGGUGGAGAAUACUUUGGGUCAAAGAGGGAGCUCCCUGGUAGGCGCCAGGGCAGGGUGGGGUCUGUGGGCCAGGGCAGGGCCCUCCCAGGUGGAGUAGAGAGCUAAGGUCCUGUUUUACAUAGUGUGUGUUGUGCUGGGCAAGGGCCAGAGGGGAGGACCGGUAAGAACGGGUCUGAUUUUGGAAUGGAUGUGGAUCCGGACAGGGGGGCUGCUUUUCAGGUACAUCUGUUCCUUGCAAAGCGGGACAGAGGAAAGUUUAUGGAAUAUGGUUGGAGUGGUUACCAACCUUGCUACCAUCUGGUGGACAAGGCAUCUGGACCGCCCCUUCACACAGGAUGUCCUGUUUUACGUAGUGUGUGUUGUGCUGGGCGAGGGCCAGAGGGGAGGACCGGUAAGAAUGGGUCUGAUUUUGGAAUGGAUGUGGAUCUGGACAUGGGGUCUGCCUUUCAGGUCCAUCUGUUCCUUGCAAAGCGGGACAGAGGAAAGUUUAUGGAAUGGGGUUGGAGUGGUUACCAACCUUGCUACCAUCUGGUGGGCAAGGCAUCUGGACCGCCCCUUCACACAGGAUGUCUGUAUCUCAGUGAGGAGAAAAGAGAGCAGCGAGGCCAAGGGGCAGACAGAGCAGGAGCUGGCCCAUGCAUCAGAGGGGCCCAUAGGCACCUAGCCCUGAAAUGUCUGCACCAGGGUACCUGCAGGAGAGGUCCAUGGACAGUGUAGUCAGAAGUUUUGGGUGGCCUGACUGGGUUUGGUGCCAGCGCGCAGGCGGGUACAGAGCGAGGGAUAUAGCUUAAUUCUACAUCCCUGAUUCCCAGAGGCCAUGGGGAUCCCCGGCUAAAGCUGAUCAUGAUUUCCAUUAUCCUUAAUUUGCCCCAAAGGAUUCUCGUCUUCUUUCUUCAUACCCCAGGGGUCUUCUGCUGACCUCUGACCCCUUUUUCUCCUGGCCAGGCCCUGCCCCACUCUCUGGGCAAGUUGACCAAGCUCACCAACCUCAAUGUGGACCGGAAUCACCUCGAGGCGCUACCACCUGAGAUCGGAGGCUGUGUGGCACUCAGUGUUCUCUCUUUGAGGGACAAUCGCCUGGCAGUCCUGCCUCCUGAGCUCGCCCGCACGGCCGAGCUGCACGUGCUUGAUGUAGCUGGGAACCGGUGAGUGUCCACCUGGCCCUUGGGCACUGGUCGUGUCCCUAGCACACACUGACUAUGCCCACCUGGCCCAGGCUACGGAGUCUGCCGUUCGCGCUCACUCACCUCAACCUCAAGGCACUGUGGCUGGCUGAGAACCAGGCGCAGCCCAUGCUGCGGUUCCAGACUGAGGACGAUGCCCAGACUGGCGAGAAGGUGCUCACCUGCUACCUGCUGCCCCAGCAGCCUCUGCCCAGCCUCGGUAGGUUGCUGGCAGCUGUGGCUUUGACUGGGUGGACAAGGCUCGGGGCCAGCCUAGGCCUCUGAUGUUUGUCUCCUGCAGAGGACUCUGGGCAACAGGGGAGCCCCUCAGAAAGCUGGAGUGAAGCCCCUCUGAGCCGAGUCAGCGUCAUCCAGUUCCUGGAGGCCCCUGAGGGUGACGAGGAUGCUGAGGAGGCCGCUGCUGAAAAGCGGGUAUGGGGGGCAUGGGGACCCUGGGUGUGCCUGCUCCUCGCCCCUGCCUGACCCCUGCCCUGCCUCUGUCCUUCAUCCCUGUCCCCGACACAGGGCCUGCAGCGUCGGGCCACUCCCCACCCCAGCGAGCUGAAGGUGAUGAAGAGGGGAGUGGAAGAGCGCCGCAGUGAGGCCUGCCUUUGCACACCAGGCCCUGGCCCGUCCUCACCCACAGAGGAGGUAGGCGCGACGGCGGCACCUGGCACAUAGCUCCCCCCAGCUCCCAGCCACCAAACCCUGGAUGGAGCAUCUGUUCUCAGAGUGGGGCUCGGGGAGCAGCCUGGGGGAGCUAUGAGAGGCUGAGGUGCAGGGCAGACUGGGUGCGGGGAGCUCGUGCAGUGUGCGUAUUGGGACCAGAGUAGGGUGCUCAGGGCCUGCGCCAGUCACGUGCUGGUGACACAGGAUGGCGGUCUGGGAAGGGGUAGGACCUCUUCCCCGGGCACUUGUGUGGCUACCUGGACAUGGUCAGUACUGGGGAGGGGUCUGGUGCUACAGCAGAGCGGGCUUGGCGCGCUCAACUGACAUCAGGAUCUGGGAGCAUUUUUGAUCCUUGAGAGCAGCAGAAGCAGCGAGUGGGAUGGUGAGCAGAGGGCAUGCGCUGGCUGGCAGGGCCACCUGCCCCUGGCUAGGGGAGCCUCACGUCAGGCCCAUAUCUUCAUGGGAAUUUGUAUGGUCCUCAUUCCUCCACUUUUUGGGAGAGCCGUUCCUAGGGGCUGGGCUGCAUAAAUGUGAUUUUGUGUUUCAGUAGCUCUGGAGGCUCAGUUUCCAGGGGCCUGGGGCUACUGCAGGGUUGAGCCUGCUGGGGAUGCUGUGCUUGGGAUAGCCCAGGCAGAGGGCCUGUGGGCAGCCUGAUACCACUGUCUGCAGCAGGAAAAGAGGCUGAGUGCAGAGUCAGGCUCCAGUGGAGGCUCUGGCCCACCCACCAGCACAGCCUCUGAGGGCGAGCCUGAGGGUCCGGCAGCUGAGGCACAGCAGGAAGCCACACCACCCAGCCAGGAGGAAGACACAGAGGAAGACUACGUUGAGGUGAGGAUGGUCAGGGAGAAGGUGGGCCAGGCUUUAGCAGCUAGAGUAUAGACUGCCUGCCUUGUGCCCCAGCCAAGCAGGUGUGUGAUUAGGGUUGAUUUCCACGUGGACGGUCACCAGGCUGUGGCAGACAAUGGCCAGACAAGAGUGGAGUGUAGGGCAGGAUUCCCUUAACAGAGCUGGGCAAAGGAGUAGGGAUGGGGUGAUAGUCCUGGGUGCAGGCAACAUGUUGCAGGAGUUUCCUGGAGGAUGCAGGCUGGUGUAAGGGUUCCCACCCCACAGCCAGGUUCAGCAGUGUCAGGUCCAUCAUCUACUUACUGUCCCCAAAUGGCCCCCUUUUCUGACCCCUGUAGGUACUCCAUUGGUCUUUGCGUAUCAUAAAGUCUCCACCUGUGUGCUCUGUGUCUAUAGAAAGAGCGUCCUCGCCCCUCGUCUUCUGGGGCUGGUGGUUGUGUGUCUCUUACCAAAAGUGUCCUGAGUCCCUGUCCUUGGCACAACAGGGAGCCUCCCUGAGACUCUGGGGUGUACCCAGCUACAAAGCCUGGCUCCCUGGAAGAAGAGGGGGGUCUGGGCCUUGCUCCCACCCUUGUGUUCUCAUCCGCACAGCCCACAGUACACUUUGCAGAGGAUACACUGCUGCCCGGUGAAGAUGGCGAGAGUGAGGAGGGGCAGCUUGAGGCCCCCUGGCCCCUGCCAGGUGGGAGGCAGCGGCUCAUUCGCAAGGACACACCCCACUACAAGAAGCACUUCAAGAUCUCUAAGCUUCCGCAGCCUGAGGCUGUCGUAGCCCUUCUGCAGGGGAUGCAGCCCGACGGGGAGGGCCCUGCAGGGCCUGGUACCUGGCACAAUGGCCCCCACAUGCCCUGGGCUCCUCGGGCCCAGGAGGAGGAGGAGGAGGAGGAGGAGGAGGAGGAGGAAGACAGGGCUGAGGAGGAAGGCGAGGCCACUACAGAAGAGGAGGACAAGGAGGAACCUGCGACUUCUGCACCCUCUGUCAAGGUGGGUCUCACGUGCACUCCUCUCUGGCCCUCCUAGGGUACCUGGGGAUGGGCAGCAUGGAGGCCAGCCCAGACUGCCCUGUGGCUGAGCCCCUCAGGUCAGGCCUCCACUCACUGGCCCCCUGGCUGCCUGGAGGAGGGGUGGGUGCAUCUCUGCUGUGACUGCUGCGUCUCUGUGUGCGCCUCACUACAAGUCCCCAGGGUCGGCCUUAGCUGAAGCCCCGACAUAUGAGUGUCUGCCGUGAUCAGCAGUGUCGUCCCCAUGUGCCCCUCUCAGUCCCUGGGCACCUCCGCUCUAGCACUGACCUUCAUCGAGGCUCACGGCGACCCUCUGGGCCAGUGUUUGCCCGUUAGACCUGCAGGCUAGCAGGACCCAGAAGCUGAGGGCAGGUGCACUGCAUACCCUCAGCCUUUUGGGCACAGGGGGCGCUGGCAGGAUGCUCUCCUCUCUGAGAGCUGCUGGCUCCCAGGAUCCUCCCUGCCUAGCCAUGACUUGGCCAGGAGGCCCUGCUGCUGGCAUGCAAUUUGUCCUGUGGGUCUGACAGUCACUCUUCUUCCUUGCAAGACAUCCCUGGCUCCCAGCAGAUUCUUGGGGAAUUGUCUUGUGCCUUCCUGAUCCUCAGUUUGUUCUCAAUGGCUCAUAACAGGUCCCUCCUGCUCAUGGGGACCCUUGAUGCCAAAGAAAGCCCCAGGCUGCCCAGAGGACCCACCUUCCCCACCCCCAUGAUGCCCCUACCCUGAGCAUGGGUUGAUGACAUGUGGCAGUGAGAAGCCUGGGGUCCUAUCAGGGAUGGCUAGGCCUGGGCUCAGCCCCACUCUGGAGCUUCCCCCCAGCCAGCCCAACCCUACCGUCUGUCAGGUCUGCAGCCUUGUGUCAUAGACAGAGGUAACCCUUGUCAGUGCCAGGAACAAGUUGGGAGGGACUGGCUCAGGCGACAGGAGCUUGGUGUGGUCUUCCUUCUGUCUUGUCUGCUCAUGGCCGGGCUGGUGAGGUGGUGGAGGUCCCUGGCGGUGGCUAACCUGCAUGCCUCGCUGGUCCUGUCCUAACAGGGCGUGUCGUUUGACCAGGCCAAUAACCUGCUGAUAGAGCCUGCUCGCAUUGAGGAGGAAGAGGUCUGUACUGCUCACUGCUGCUCUGUGCUCUGGGCCCGGGUCUGCUGCUGACCUUGCUUCCUGGGCUGCGGGUUCUUGCCUCUCCCCACCCCAUCACUUAAGCAUAGACCCUUUCCCAGAAGAGCUCCUGGCAGCUGCUACAGAAAUGGGGUCCUGGGGCUGCCCCGAUAGGGCCUGCUGGUCUUUUGGCAGAGGCAGCACAUCUCUGCCCCCACUGCGGCCUUUCUUGUAGAGGACAAACAGAGGGCCAACGCCAGGCCAUCCGUGUUCAUUCUCUGCAGCUGUGACUGCCCCACGCCUCAGAUACCUCCCAGCUCCUCUUCUGCCUCUGCUACCCUGGCAGGCGGAGGGACCUCAAAAAGAAACCAAAAGGAGCUGUCUGUGGCUGGCCUUGCUGUGCCGCAAGCACACAGACGGCUCAAGCCCUCCCAAACACAGUGUCUGCUCUGUUUCCAGCUGACCCUCACCAUCGUGCGCCAGACUGGGGGCCUUGGCAUCAGCAUCGCAGGGGGCAAGGGUUCCACCCCCUACAAGGGAGAUGACGAGGUGAGCAGCUGCCCCAGGCUAUAGCUGCCCUGGGCUCCCUCCUGCCCCAGACCUGCCUACACUCACUGGCCCAGAGGCUUCUGCUCCAAGGGGUGUUGGAUGCCUGCCGCCAGCCCCACAGUUCAGUCUUCUGUGUGCUUUGCCUGCACUUGGCCACCAGCCCCAGAGUGCACAGGCUGGGCCCAAGGCAGCAGGCAGACGGGGAUGUGCGCACGUGGGAGUUCACAGUCUAGAGCAGCUUGUUUCUCUUCUGCAAUCUGGUCUUCCCUCACACACUCUGGGCGUAGUGCCCGGGUCAAAGCCCUGACCCGCACUUUCUACUUCCUGGACGUAGGACCCACAGUGGUCUCUACUUAGGCCGUAUGUCUUCCUUCAUGUUCUUGGGGAUCUUUGCAGCAUCCCCAGAGAGCAGGCUGGGCUAGGGUCUGAAGGGACCAGGUCUCCCUCCAGUAAGUGCCUCCUGGCCUCCCAGAAAGGGCAAGACAGAAGGCUCUUAAGGAAUCCCCAACUCCUGUCCCCAGGGUGUCUUCAUUUCUCGGGUGUCUGAGGAGGGCCCUGCGGCCCGGGCUGGAGUCCGAGUGGGCGACAAACUCCUUGAGGUGAGUAGUGACUGCUGGCCAGUGACACCUGUGCUCUGGGGUGCCAUCUGGGCUGUUGGGGUAUUUAGUUGUGCCUAUCGGAUGGGGGCACUGUCUACCCUCUCCAGAAGCCCUGAGCCCCAGACCCCAGGACUCCCCCAAACCCUCUUUGGGCAGGAUGUGUAGUGCAGGCACCUAAAACCCCAGAAUCGGGAGGGCUGGGAAAGGGGUCAGACCCCAGCAGGUUGUGGGGCUCAGAUCCUUGUGAGAGACUUGGCACCCCCACCAGGGCACCUGGCUGUUGGAUAUAGGCUGUGCCCUUCCUGUGGGGACAAGGGUGAGGGCCCUGAGGGUAUCAGAAGAGGCUGGUGCUCCUCCUGCUCUCCUGCUCAGCUCUCUUCCCAGCCUCUCUUGGGGGCUCCUGUCCAAGGUGGCGUGUGAGUGUGGGGUCGGUGACCUGGUAAUCCUGGGCAUUCUCUGGGGCUGCUCAGACAGACCCAGAUGGUAGGUUUCCAGAAGCAAGGUGAGUGGUGUGGACUGUUCCAGGGGCAGAUGCCUGUGCUCUGGGAACCGCCAUAGGUGGGGACGAAGCCCAUCAGGAGCUCUGGGUACCCCCUCUCCCUGCCCUUCCCAUCCAUGGAGGGAAGCGUGGGCAGAGGCCACACGAGCCGUUGUCAUGGCGUCAGUGCUCAGGUGUCGGGGUGGCCGCAGCUGGGUGCUGACGUGUGCCGGGCCUCCCACACCUACAGGUGAACGGCGUGGCUUUGCAGGACGCUGAGCACCAUGAGGCUGUGGAGGCCCUCCGAGGGGCAGGCACAGCCGUGCAGAUGCGUGUGUGGCGGGAACGCAUGGUAGAACCUGAGAACGCAGUCACCAUCACACCCCUGCGGCCCGAGGACGACUACAGCCCCCGAGAGCGGCGGGGAGGCGGCCUGCGCCUGCCCCUGCUGCAGCCGGAGCUCCCUGGGCCUGUGCGCCAGUGCCAUGUGGCCUGCCUGGUGCGCAGCGAGAAGGGGCUGGGCUUCAGCAUUGCUGGGGGGAAAGGCUCCACACCCUACCGGGCCGGUGACGGGGUAAGGCAGGGUGGCUGGGGGUGCAGGGAGGGCUCUGGGGCAUCCGUGCCUGCUGGCCGUGCCUGCUGGCCUCACGGUGGCGGCUCCCCCAUCCCUGCAGGGCAUCUUCGUCUCCCGCAUUGCCGAGGGUGGUGCUGCCCAUCGAGCAGGCUCGCUGCAGGUUGGCGACCGUGUUCUCUCGGUGAGUGGGAUGGGCAGGGCCUGCUCAGUGCCUUGUCCUGCCCACCCUUUCUCACCUGAGUGUCCCUCACAGAUCAACGGGGUGGACGUGACUGAGGCCAGGCAUGACCAUGCUGUGUCACUGCUGACUGCUGCCUCCCCCACCAUCGCCCUGCUGCUGGAACGGGAGACAGGGGGACCCCCUCCCUCCAGCACCCCCCCACUUUCCUCCCCAACUCCCACUGUUGCUGCUGCCACCACCACGACCACUGCUGCCCCUGGAGAGCCUGGGCUGCCCAGGCUGGCCCCUGCUCUCCUGGCUGCUGCCCUAGAAGGACCGUACCCAGUGGAGGUGAGCCUCCAGCUGCCCCCUGCCAGGCAUCCGCUCAGCUCUGCUGUGGGUGUGCACUCUCCCAGAGCCCCUGCUCAUGGCCCUGCAGCCACUCUGGGCAGAAAGGAACUUGCACAUUUUUCCCCAUGUGCCUGAGAAACGGAGCCCUCCUCCACGAGGUGACUCCUUGCUGUGGUCCACCUGCCCCACACCACCUCCCUGCCAGGCCACCCAUGAGGACACAGGCUUUAGCUGCAUGGGUGUCUGGGCAGUGGGGUUUUGCAGAGGCAAUGGGAAUCCCUGCAGGUGCCUGGGGCUCCCCGAACUCUGUUCCCAACCACAGAGACCAGCAGUUCCCCUACUUCUUUCCACUCUUUCCCUUCUCUGAGGCCUGUCCCAUGUCCCCAGGAGGUUCGUCUGCCUAGGGCUGGGGGCCCCCUGGGGCUCAGCAUUGUUGGGGGCUCCGACCAUUCCAGCCACCCGUUUGGUGUCCAGGAGCCCGGCGUAUUCAUCUCCAAGGUAGAUAGAGGCCCUGGUGGGUGGAUCUGGACAGAGGGGACCUAUCCUGCCCACCCUGGGGGGCCCACCGGCUGCUGCCUUCCUCUUCAACAGGUGCUCCCACGCGGCCUGGCCGCUCGCUGUGGCCUGCGGGUGGGGGACCGCAUUCUGGCAGUAAAUGGGCAGGAUGUUCGGGAGGCCACUCACCAAGAGGCGGUCAGUGCCCUGCUCCGGCCCUGCCUAGAACUGUCCCUGGUGGUGCGGAGGGACCCUCCACCUCCAGGCAUGCGGGAGCUCUGCAUCCAGAAGGCCCCUGGGGAGAAGCUGGGGAUCAGCAUCCGUGGGGGUGCCAAGGGCCAUGCAGGGAACCCCUGCGACCCCACAGACGAGGGCAUCUUCAUUUCCAAGGUAAGGACCCUGCCCUUCUGCUUCUGUGGGCAGGUCCCAGUUCAGAGUCUCAGGUGGGUCUCUCCACAGGUAAGCCCUACGGGGGCAGCCGGGCGUGACGGCCGGCUGCACGUGGGGCUCCGGCUGCUGGAGGUGAACCAGCAGAGCCUGCUGGGCCUGACACACGCAGAGGCCGUGCAGCUGCUGCGCAGCGUGGGUGACAGCCUGACCGUGCUCGUCUGUGAGGGGUUUGACACCAGUGCCACCACAGCCUUGGAGGUUAGUGACCACUCUGGGGACCAGGUGCUGUCUCAGUACUGUCCCAAAGGGUUGUAAUGAGCUGACCCUUGUGUGGGCUGGGCAGCAGAGCCUUCCACAGUCUGAGCCAGCUGUAGGUGGGAGCUGUGGGCAUACCCCAUGCCAGACUGCUUUCUCUCCAGAGCCCUGGCCACUGUGCCUUCUGGAGACUCCUGCCUGGGCAGGAUGAAGCACUAAAAGCUUGUGAUGUAUCUGGGCAGUGGCAGGAUCUGGUUCUUUGAGAAGAGGUCCAGCCAUAGGCCUUGGGCAGGGAGCACCUGAGUGGGCGUGGUAGGUGGCUGACAGGGAGCUGUGACCUCCUGUUCUCCCUGGCCCAGCCUGACCCCAGGGUCUCUGGUGGCCUGUCAUCAGAGUUCACCCCCCACCAUCUUAUCUGACUGCUCUGUGCCUCAGAGCAAGAGCUCAGACUGGGGCAGAGACGCAGAUGGGGCGUCAGCCACCUCCCAACACUUGCGGAGAGGAGGGACCAGGGCUAGGCCCAGGAACCUUGCGUCCUGGACAGGCUGUCUUCAUCCAGUGGUUUCAGCCCUCUUGUCUCCCACCAGCUGUCAGUGAGGCCCCUCAGCACCAUUGCCUGAAGGCCCAAACAGGCCUCCAGAAGAUUUUUACCUGCAGUAACCACCAGCUUUGCCCAAAGAGCACCCUUGCUGGUCACAGUGGUCUGUGGGACACGGUGCCGUGUCACCACUCUGCCUGGCUUCCACUUCUUGCCCUGGUUUCUGGGAUAGUCAGCCACCCUGGGUUGGCUCUUACAGUGGAUCUUUGGGAUGGUGACUUCCUGCCAGAUGCCAGCUAAAAAGACACCACUGGCUGAGAGCCACAGACAGCACCUUCUCGCAGGCCCCUCGAGGGCCUGCCCUGUGGGAAACCAUGUGUCUUCAUCCCAGUCGCCACAGCGGGACUUGAGCUGGCCAUCCUCCCCCUUUGCUGUCCACGAGGGAGCGCUGGUAGAUUGGGGAAUGAGUUUCUCUAUGCCUGAGUGGUCUGGUUCCAAAAGGCGUUUUGCCUUUUCUUCACUGAUCUUAAAGUGUACAUUUAACGGAUGUUGUCCAAGACAUUUAUUUAUUUCAGACUUAGAGAAAGGACACCGGGGGGAAGGGUGCGAACUUCCACCAGAGUAGGACUGGCUUGCCCAGGUGACGCCAGGCCUGUGUUCCCUCACCUGGCGUCGGCUCCUCUGGAGGGUCACAGCUAAAGUCUGGGCAGGUGUCCUCCACAGCUGAGGGCAGAGGGCCCUGAGCAGGGCCAAGAGCCCCUGGACCUCUGCCCGUGGGAGCUGAGUGCUUUCCCUGGGAGUGUCGGGACUCCUCGGGACCUGAGGCUGCUGUCACCCGGCAGGUGCCCACCCACCGUCCUUGGGCACAGGUGACCCACGUGUGCUCUGUAGCACAUAGCUGUGUUAUCUUUGUUUCCUUUUUAAAAUUGUGUAUUUUAGUCACAAAAAAACUAUGAUUUUUAUCAAGUUGUCUGGAAAACUCUGCUUUUGCAGAUCAUGGAGACGUGGCCCUGUUUUCUGCCAGCACCUCUGUGCUUUUCUUAAACAUGCAGCCUGUGUCCAUCUGGAGUUGUUGUUCAAGGGGAGGGCCGUGUGCCCUGACUGGCCCUGACCUUCGUCUCCUGCUGACCUGGGGGAGAUGCGACUGCGCUGUGUGCUCAGCCCCAGGUGUUCCGAGGCUUGACUCGGGGCUAGGUCCCCGUGCCAGCUGCAUACUGCCAUUUUACAUUACAGCGUGUCCCAAAACCUCAUCACCCACGUCACUCGCUCUUUUGUCUCCUUGAGAAGUGCUGUGUGUUGUGUUUUGCUUCUGAGUGAAUCUGCCAGGCUCCAUAACAGGAAUUGGUUGGGGCCCUGGUAUUUGGGGCGAGUUAUUCUCAAGCAUAUUCCUAGGUUGCUCUUGUUCUUGGUUCCCGUAAACCCUGGCCAGCUGCUGCUGUGCUUCCAUGGCAGAAGCCCUGUGGUCUACAGCAGUGACACGGGGCCUCCUUCCCGGUGCCUGGCUGAUGGACUGUUUCAUUCCCUAUGCAGCGUUUGCUGUAGUUUCUUUGUGGUCCUUGCUGUUUGUAACGGACAAGUUGAGUCUUCUGAAGUGGUCUUCACAUUGGUGGGCUCAGUUGGCUGGUUGGCCCACCGAGGUGCCAGCCCCAUGCGUGGCACUCAAGAGAAAGAGGAGCCCACAUUGAAACCCAGGACUCCACAGCAGCGUCUGGAUUCCUGGCUUCUCACGAAUCUCAAAGGACCCUGCACAGCUGGCCCUUGUCUACCAGGACUCUCUGACACCCCCCCCCCGGAAUGGGACAGGUAUUUGUCCUCACCCUCACAAUUUUUCCUAAACUGGGCCCACUUGAGUCAUCUUGGCCUCACACCUGUGGCAUCAGUUUGCCUGCCACAUGCCCUGCCAGCUGGUGAGUGGCAUAUUCCCGCCUCCCCCGUGUUCUGAACAGUGGCCGAGCGUGUGCUAGAACUUGCCUGGCCUGUGAUCUAGGGCUGAUGCAAUUUGAGGGCUCUUGCACAGUUUGGAUAAAUGCAGGGUCUUGCUAGCCGCCAGGCCUUGGGCAGGUACUGGGCUUCUACUCCUGGUCUCUGUCUGUAGAGGGGCAGUGGUAGGGCCUGCCUCAAGAGGGACAGAUAGCCCAGCAGCUCAGCAAGCACCCACCUGACCACCAUCGUGCCAGACCCCUGAGCAGGCUGCUCCAUGUGGACUUGGAUACUUCUCCCUUGGCUUCCUGUGCGUCAGGUGCAGAGGACUCGCUGCCGCCUUUCUCUUCCUCUGGAGUUAUCUGCAGACCUACGGUCUACCUUACAUUCAGCCACUGGCCAAAGUCUCCCACACCGACGGUCCCUGGCCAUGCAGUCUGACAUAACGAUCUUUCAGCUUUCCGGUGUUGCAGAGGCAAAGGGCAUGUGGUCACAACUACAGUUUGAAUUUGGAUUUGGACUUUCUGGGCUGGAGGUUCUCUGUGUGUGUGAAUCUCCUGUUUCUCAUCAGGCUUCCCCGCCAGCUUGAGCCCCCGCUGAUGGUGCCUGAGCGAGGGCUGUCGUGGCUGCUGAUCCCUCGGAGGACAUACUGUCCCUUGCCAUGUUUGUGUUACAUACUUGUCCAUCAGUGCAUGGUUCCGCUUAUUUCAUGAGUGAUCGUUGUCACAGUUUAUGUUGGUGCUCAGGUUGUCUCAGCCUUGGCUGGGAAGGCACUUGAGGCAAGGCUGGGUCCUUUGGACGUCACCUGCCCUCUCCAGCACUUUCUUCUUCACUCCAGGUGUCUUAGCUGGUCUCCCUCUUUCCUGCCCAGCCCUGGGGUAGCUGUUUCUCGCAAGCACUGGUUCCUUCAGGGAAGGUGAUGUUGAGAAGCCAGGGUGUGACCUCUGAGUGGUGCUUGGCUUUCGGGGCGUGUGUUCUUUGUGUGUCCAGUGGCCAGCAGUUGCUGCCUUCCAUUAUUUCUGGACCUGCAGGCUGCUGAGCUCCCACCUUUGCAGGCAGCACCACAGGUCAGCCCUUCCAUAUUUGAGCAGCCUUCUCGGAUGUGGGAUUCUCUCUCAGUCCUUCUGUAUGUGAUGGUCCUUCCCACCCCACAGGGCCUGCUGCCUCUCUUGGGCCAGCCCUCCAAAAGGUUGAGGAGCAGGGUUCUGCUGCUUGACCGCCAGCGUUGUCCAGAUCCGAGCCACGGAGCGAGCCACGGAGCCCUGUACUGGUGUUCUGUCCAGAGCUCAUGCUCCUGGUGGUCUUGGUGGUCUUGUUUUUAGAAACAACACAGCUGAGUUUGUGUUUCAGCCUACAGGGAGUGUCCCUCCAUGGUGGGGACCUGCCCGUGGUCAGGGUGGUGGUUGGUGCCUUCUUUUGCACCGUGCUGCCAGCCCGCUCCUCCCUGUUCUGCUGUCGGUGGCAGAGCCACAUGGUUCCUUUGGUGCCUUGUGGAGUGGAAGUGAGCUCUUGCUCCUGUGUGUCCGUUGCCUGUUCAUCCUUGACCCAAGCUCACUUGGGAGGGCCUCCCCUGCCCUUGCCCUGCUCCUGGGCUCAUGCACCCAGCUUCCUGCAGGCCCCUCUCCUUCAGACUGCAGUCUCUGGGUCCUGACUGAUCUCCCUCUGAGGUCUGGAACUAGUUGGGUCUUUCCUUGGCACCCUUAUUCAGCUCUCAGUGCACGUUCUAGAUGCAGCCUGUCCUCCGGCAGCAUUGGUGUCCCUUGGGGAGCAUCACCCACAAACGGCUUCUUUCCCUCCAUCUUGGUGACUUCUGGUUCUCUGUUCCUGGGGCGACUACAGAGGCCACCUCAGCUGUGGUCAGCCGAGCUCGUGGGAUGUCAGCUUCUGUGUUCACUGCUUGUCCCAGGCUUCAGUCUGCCCUGGAGAUGGGACCUCACUGGCAGGGAACCCCACCCUCAGCCACUCCUCUCCUCUCAGGUGUCCCCAGGUGUCAUUGCCAACCCCUUUGCAGCAGGCAUCAGCCACCGGAACAGCCUGGAGAGCAUCUCGUCCAUCGACCGGGAGCUGAGCCCUGAGGGCCCAAGCAAGGUCGGAACUCCUGUGGCUGGCAGCCAGGGCUGGGGACCUGAACUGCUGAUGCCUGACUUGUCUGCUCCCUCACAGGAGAAGGAACUGCCCAGUCAGACCCCACACUGGGGGCCUGAGGCUGUGGAGGCCACGGUGAGUCCCAUGGGGCCUGGCUCUGUGCUCUGGGCUGCAUCCUCCCCUGAAGCAGUGCAGUCCAUGCCCAGGCACACAGCCCAGCUAGCAGUGUCACUCUGCUCCCCAGGGCCAGAGGCUGGAGCCCCUGAAGCUGGACUACCGUGUCCUGGCUGCUCUGCCCGGCACUGGCAGUGUGCAGAGGGUCAGUGUCCCACGUGUGCUGAGUUGCACCCUCCUGACGCCUUGUCCAUCUGCCCACCAGCCUGUCAGCUCCCUCUUCACCUGGCCAGCCACUGCCAGGGGCUGAGUGCCGAGGCCACCAUGGAGGAGCCUCUGUGGGGUGGGGCACGGGCUGGGGUUGGAGGAGCCCAGCCGCGUCUUACCCUUUACUUCUUGACCUUAGUCACGCGUGGAGGGGGGUCCUUUGAAAGCCCCCGACCCCUUCCCUGCCUCAUCCUUACCAGUCAGCUGGGUAUGGGGAACUGAGUCCAGCCUGUGGCAGGCAGAAGGGCUCCUGAGGUAGAGGCAGCUGGAAGUCACCAGAGUCUCUCCAGGCUCCUGGUGGGGGAGGGCGGGCAUGAGCAGCCCUGGAAUGGGUGGGCAUGAGCAGCUGCAGAGUGUCCUGGGAGGCCAGGGUGAGUGGAGAAGGGCUUAGCAUUAACUGGGUGUGGCAUCCAGGGCACCGGGUCUGGGGACAGACAGGAAGGACAUUCAGCCCCCAUUCCUCCCCAGGAGGUAUAAAUAACACUGGUAGAGGGUGAGCCCAGUCAGCUGCUGCUGGGAGACCCCACAGGAGUGUGAGUGCUUCAGGGGCGGGUCGGGGAGGACGCUGCCGGAGCAGUGGGGGAGGCGCUGAGUGGCCUGGUGGGCCUGGGGACUGAAGGAGCCUGCUUGGGCUUUGGGUGUGGACCCUCCUGCUGCACAGAACCUGGAGAGGGCAGCAGGGGUGGGGCCUAGCACCCUCACAUUAGGAGGGGGCACAGUGGCUGGUGGACCGUGGGAGGACUCCCUGGCUCUCACUGCUGGGGUGUCCUGGGUUUGGGGGCCCCUCUGCACAGCUCUGGGCUGCAGCUGCUACUGUGAACUCACACUCAGCUAGCUGCUCAGCCCAGGCCCAAUCUCCUGCCUUCUUUUUAAAAAUAUUUUGAUUUUUUAGUGUACACAAUACCCAUGUUUUUUAUUUAUUUUUAUGUGGUGCUGAGGAUCGAACCUAGGACCUCGCACAUGCUAGGCGAAUGCCCAGACUCCUGCCUUCUGGCUGGGGCACACCCUUUGUGGUGGCCAAGCCUGUCCCGAUAUAUCCCUGGGGGUGUGGUUGGUCAGAGAAUUGAGUAGCAGCUUCUGUGCUGCCAGCAUGGGUGCGUGCUAGGGACCCCCAAAUCCUUUUACUUGGGGGACACAGUUCUGCCUAGCCCUCCCCCACCCACCAGCUGGUUCCUGCAGGUACCAUCUGGAACAACUGGAGGGAAGAUGGCGGAGGCCCCCUGCUCCCCUGGAGGCCAGCAGGUGAGCAUCUCUGCUGCCCCCUAGAGUGCUGUAGAUGGGUGCUGUGUGGAGCUGGCCUCCACAAGGGGAAUGCUUGUGCUCCUGGAGGGGAUCCAGCCCUCCCUGAACGUGGGCCAGCACCAAGGACCCACCGGUAUACUCACCCCUUGCCUGGGUCCCUCAUGCCCCCCCAUCCUGCUGCGAGAGGAGGGCCAGGCCUCGGGCACCCCUCAUCCUGCCCUGCAGGAUGGGGUGGGCACUUGGAGCCCAGCUGCCAGCCCAGUCCCCGGAGGCUGAGGCAUUCAGGUGCAUGUCCCCGCCCCUGCUGUCCAGCUUGCCUCCCUCCCUCUCUCCUCCUUUCUUGGACCCCUGAUCCUGUACUUCUCUGCCCCCUUCCCUGCCCUUUGCAGACAAAACCCGGGGUGAUCCAGCCUUUGGCUCAGGCCUGGCCAAGGGGCUCCCCGGCCCCCAGGGGCAGAGGUGAUCCCCGCUCCGUGAGUGUCCUAUCCCACAGGGGGUAGGGGGUGGCAGUUUCCUUCCCCUCUACGGGACAGGGCGAGGGGGGGAUCAGUGGCAGUCCGUGGAGACAGCUGGUGGCUGGUUGGGCGGUGGCUGCAGUGGACAGCUGCCCCCCACCCCGCCUCACGGGCACUCCGCCCCCAGACGCCCUCCCCGCCCUCCCCGGAGGAGCUGCCCGCCAACGUGAAGCAGGCCUACAGGGCCUUUGCCGCAGUGCCCGCCGCACACCCUCCCGAGGACUGCGCUGCCCAGGUAGGCGGGCGCCCUGCGGUGCGGGGCACUGAGUGCGGGUGGGUGCCCGCGGAGGAACUCUGGCCGAGUGUGAGGUCCACCUCCCCAGCCCCCCGCAGCCUCCCCGGAGCAGCUCUCCUUCCGCGAGCGGCAGAAGUACUUUGAAUCGGAGGUGCGGGUGCCCCAGGCCGAGGGGCCCCCCAAGCGCGUGUCCCUGGUGGGUGCCGACGACCUGCGGAAGAUGCAGGAGGAGGAAGGUGAGGAGGGCGGGAGGAGGGGCGGGGUGUGUGUGUGUGUGUGCCCGCCUGACCCACCCACCUCCCCGCAGCCCGCAAGCUGCAGCAGAAGAGGGCGCAGAUGCUGCGGGAGGAGGCCGCGACCGCGACCUCCGGGCCCAACAUUGGGCUCGCCCUGGACCUGGAGGCCCCUGAAGAGGAGCACCAGGAAGACGAGCCGCUCUGGGCCAGCCUGGGCGGGUGAGCUCCGCCCCCUCCCCCCCACCCUGCCCCGCUGUGCCCGCCCCCUCAACUGGCCUCCCUCUUCCCUAGGCCCAGCCCUGCAUCCCCGCUGCCCGCAGGAGGCAGCGCCCCUGUGCGAACAGCCAAAGCUGAGCGGCGCCACCAGGAGCGGCUGCGCAUGCAGAGCCCGGAGCUGGCGGCACCAGAGCGGGCCCUGUCCCCAGCGGAGCGCCGGGCCCAGGAAGCAGAGAAGCGGGCGCUGUGGAGGGCGGCCAGGUAAGUGGGUUCCCCCCCGCCCCGCGCCGCGCCCACUCCCUGGUCUCCGCCCACCCAUUGGUCUCCGCAGGAUGAAGUCUCUGGAGCAGGACGCUCUGCGCGCACAGAUGGUGCUCAGCAAGUCCCAGGAGGGCCGGAGCAAGCGAGGGCCCCUGGAGCGGCUGGCCGAGUCCCCCUCGCCCGCUCCCACCCCAUCGCCCACCCCCUUGGAAGGUCGGUGUGUCUGGUAGGAGGGGGGGGGGUUCUGCCAGCUAUGGGCCUUUCCCAAAGCCAGUGUCUUGUACCCCAGAUCUCGGCCUCCAGACCAGCACCACCCCGGGACGCCUGGUGAGCCACCCGCAGCUGUCUCCCCCCCUGCACCCCUGCGGCAUGGGGGCGGCGGUGCAGAUUCCCCCACACCGCCCUCACCUCUCUCCCUCGCACUUUCUGCCUCUUCCCCCUCACGCUGUCCUUUCAAGCCCUUGUCUGGAAAGAAGUUUGACUACAGGGCGUUCGCAGCCCUCCCUUCUUCCAGACCUGUCUAUGACAUCCAGGUACUGGCAGUCUCCUGGCCUUCUGCACGCGCAUGGGCCCAGUGCACGCUCCUGCCACUCCCCUGUGCCUGUCCCACCUGAGCUCUGUCCACCCCUGCUUUUUCCCUGCUCUUUCUCUGGUGUGGGGCCUCCCCCCUCCUCUUCCCUCCCGUCGCAGCCCAGCUGUGCUGUGCCCUCACCCAGGCUCUGUGGGCCUCAGAGCCAGGGGGACCGGCCAGGUCCACCAGGGUGGCUUCAGCCAGGUCUGGACCAGCCCUGACCAGCCCCUCUUCCCAUCACAGUCGCCAGAUUUUGUUGAGGAUCUGAGGUCCUUGGAACCAACUCCUAGCCCUGGUAAGUUGGUGCUGGGCUGGGGGUAAGCUCCCAGGGUGCCUGGUCACCCUGGGCUUACUUCCUGUCCUUGCCCCCGCCCCGCCCCCAGGCCCUCAGGAGGAGGAUGGAGAGGUGGCCCUGGUGCUCCUAGGCAGGCCCUCCCCCAGUUCCCUGGGCCCUGAAGAUGUGGCGCUGUGCAGCAGCCGUCGCCCCAUGCGGCCUGGGCGCCGGGGCCUGGGCCCUGUGCCCUCCUAGGGGGCAGGGCCUCCCCAGACUUGGGGUGGGGGCCUGCCAGCUCCAACACCACCCUUGCCCCAGUCUUUUAACCUGGGUGUUAGCAUUUUAAAGAGACCCCUCAGGGGCCUGGCCUGUGCCUGACUGCCCCACCCCAAGCGGGUUCUCUUGGCGAGACUGUAACUAGUGACGUUUGUACAACCAAAGACUCUAUUUUGUGGUUUAAGGAGAAUAAAAUUGACUACAUUUUAACCCCUAUGUGUCCCUCCAUCCACCCACCCACCUGCAG
rnacentral:lncRNA from 1 species